rnacentral:rRNA from 1 species
AUUGAACGCUGGCGGCAUGCUUUACACAUGCAAGUCGAACGGUAACAGGCCGCAAGGUGCUGACGAGUGGCGAACGGGUGAGUAAUGCAUCGGAACGUGCCCAGUCGUGGGGGAUAACGCAGCGAAAGCUGCGCUAAUACCGCAUACGAUCUAUGGAUGAAAGCGGGGGACCGUAAGGCCUCGCGCGAUUGGAGCGGCCGAUGUCAGAUUAGGUAGUUGGUGGGGUAAAGGCUCACCAAGCCAACGAUCUGUAGCUGGUCUGAGAGGACGACCAGCCGAACUGGGACUGAGACACGGCCCAGACUCCUACGGGAGGCAGCAGUGGGGAAUUUUGGACAAUGGGCGCAAGCCUGAUCCAGCAAUGCCGCGUACAGGAAGAAGGCCUUCGGGUUGUAAACUGCUUUUGUACGGAACGAAACGGUCCUGGUUAAUACCUGGGGCUAAUGACGGUACCGUAAGAAUAAGCACCGGCUAACUACGUGCCAGCAGCCGCCGUAAAAC